CAGGGAUGGGACCCGCAGGGCUCCCACCUCCGCUGAGUCGUGCCAGAGCUGGUCGGGCCCCGAGUCAGUAAUCGCAAAAAACAGCUACCAUUUUCUCAGCACUCUUGUGUACUCAGGAAGUGCUGGGCGUUCCCGCCGAAUCCUGAAUCAACAGCCCCAUAUCAGGAUCACUAACCCAUUUUGCAGAAGAGGACGUUGAGGCUCAGAGAAAAUUAACCGGACGUGGUGGCGCCUGUAAUCCCAGCUACUCAGGAGGCCUGAGGCAGAAGAAUCACUUGAGUCCGGGAGUGACUGCAGAGUCUGAGCAGGUUGCAGUGAGCUGAGAUCUGGCGACUGCACCCAGCCUGGGCAACAAGAGCAAAACUCUGUCUCCAAUCAAUCAAUCAAUCACAGAAGUUCUGCCCACACUAGCCAGGAACUGACUCAGUGCCUGGCCUGGGGUUGACUUGCAUUGUCUCCCUGAAACUCUCCAGCAGGCCUUUUAGGAGGUUGUUAUUAUUAGACCCAAGUUACGAAAGGGGAAAUUGAGGCCCAGGUUGGUGUGGCCUGCCCCAGGCUACACAGCCAGGAAGCUAUGAAGCUGGGAUUUAAAGCCAGGUCUCUUUACUCUCAAAGCCUAGGGUCAUUUGCCAUCAUCCCACACUGUCCCCAGUGUCAGGUCAACUGAGGGAGAAGCAUCUGUUGAGCACCCAUGAUCCAGUCCUCAUAUGGAAGGG
rnacentral:lncRNA from 1 species